GAUGAAGAACGCAGCGAAAUGCGAUACGUAAUGUGAAUUGCAAAUUCAGUGAAUCAUCGAGUCUUUGAACGCACAUUGCGCCCCCUGGUAUUCCGGGGGGCAUGCCUGUCCGAGCGUCAUUGCUGCCCUCAAGCACGGCUUGUGUGUUGGGCCCCGUCCUCCGAUCCCGGGGGACGGGCCCGAAAGGCAGCGGCGGCACCGCGUCCGGUCCUCGAGCGUAUGGGGCUUUGUCACCCGCUCUGUAGGCCCGGCCGGCGCUUGCCGAUCAACCCAAAUUUUUAUCCAGGUUGACCUCGGAUCAGGUAGGGAUACCCGCUGAACUUAAACAUAUCAAUAAGCGGAGGA
rnacentral:misc_RNA from 1 species